rnacentral:rRNA from 1 species
AUUAAUGAAUAUUGAAAGGGGUUGUAGCUGGCCUUUUCGUCUGAGAGGCAUUUUGUGCACACCCUGAUCAUUGUCCAAUUUUACACCUGUGCACACACUGUAGGUUGGCUUUCAGGGUGAAGUCUUCAUUGGCUUUGCUUUGUGACCUUCCUAUGUUUUAUCACAAACUACUUAGUCUAAAGAAUGUCUGUCGCGUGUAACGCAUUAUAUACAACUUUCAGCAACGGAUCUCUUGGCUCUCGCAUCGAUGAAGAACGCAGCGAAAUGCGAUAAGUAAUGUGAAUUGCAGAAUUCAGUGAAUCAUCGAAUCUUUGAACGCACCUUGCGCUCCUUGGUAUUCCGAGGAGCAUGCCUGUUUGAGUGUCAUGGAAUUCUCAACUCUAUUUGCUUCUGGGUGAAUAGAGCUUGGACUUGGAGGUUAUUGCUGGAUGCACUGGUGUUCGGCUCCUCUUGAAUGUAUUAGCUCGAGCCUUUGUGGAUCAGCUUCGGUGUGAUAAUUCUUUACGCUGUUCUGUGAAGCAUGUUUAUGGGUUUUGGCUUCUAGUCGUCCUCUGGAUGGGACAAAUGUAAUAUGACCUUUGACC